AGUAGAAUUACUCCCAGUCACUUCAUGCCACUGAAACCGUGAUAAGCACUGGCCUGAUGGGCCACUUAGCUGGUAUACAGAUUUUACCUACUGUUUACCUACUUGUCUUCAUUUGUUUCCAGUAGAAAUAUCCAGUAGAAAUAUCCAUUUCUUAUUGGUCAAUAGUACUGAAAGUGACCCCCCCCCCCAGGGGGGUUACUCCCAGUAAAAUUGGUGCGGUGUGUCGCCUGAUUCCCAAACCCUUGCCCUAUUUAAGACUCAAACAUGUGAUUUCCCCUACCCUAUUUGACCUGAUCAAAAAUUUUAUACCCAUUUAAGAUCUGACCCUUAAAUAAAUACCUUGUUCUAGACCUGCCUUAUAGUUAGUCCCCUAGUUCACACCAGUGUCAAAGGCAAUGUUUAUAAUAUGCUUUUAUUAGGUAGGAUAACUUCUUCUAGAAAAACAUACCCAACUCACAUUACAACUUGCGUUGCGUUGCGUUGCGUUACGUUGUUGCGUUACUAAAGAAAUACUAAAAAUCCCUUCCAGCAUCUCCGUCUUACCAGGCUCAUUUUCUAAGUUGUUAAUCAAUAUGGUAAGACUUUUUAAAGAGUGGAUCAGCUUGUGCAAACCAGAGCAAACCUUAUUAAUAAGGGAUUGGUCUAAAAACAUUGGGGGAUCGGUGGGAGUGGAGAUGGGGUGGGUCAUCAGUUUUUGAGACCUUUGCGGUGAGAGGUGGGUCGUUCUUUUCAGCUGCCCGUGAGGGGUGGGUCAUCCUGGUUUAAAACAGGAAUUGGAACACAUUUGACACAAUUCACAACAGAGGUAACUCCUUCAAGUUCUAGACGACGAAAAUGUUUUGGGCCGUAGCUGAAAAAGUACAAGGGGCUGGUGUACAAUAGAGAUGGCAAUCUCAUGUAUUUAUAAAAUCUGUACGAAAGCUAAGAAGUCUAACGGAAUAAGCCAGAGAGUUCCAGAGCUGAAAUUUUCAAAAUACUGCACUCUUCGACAUGCUGGUCUUCAAGAACACCAAAUGGCCAACUUGUGUCUACAUUUGUCCCUAAGGGUACGCGACAGGUUGAUGGAUCGAGGACUCACACCCUUGGGCCUGGGACUCGUAGUUUACUGGCCGUGUGAGUAACAGAACUCACUACAGCGUUUUUCUAGAUGGAUCACUGUUCCUCGCGUAGUGAGGCUGGAGGCCGAGUGUGAAAGAUUUAGGGUAUGGACACAACUUAAAGUUGCAAGAGUAAAAGAAAACAUUAUUUUUAGAUAAAAGAAAACUUUUUUAGAUGACAAACUAAAAAAUGUCAUGUUUUAUAGGGGGUGGAUCAUGUAAUUUUCAACCUUCGUUUAGGGGUGGGUCACUCUGUUUUGUGCCAAAUGGAGGUGUUGAGUCAUCUGUUUUCUAACCACUACAUUUUCAAAUUCUCCGACCCACCCCCCUGUACUCUUUGACCAGUCCCUAAACACGACUUUUUGUAAAGAUAGGAGGCAACAAGAGACUUAAUAAUCAAAUUUUAUAGAGAUGUCAGGCUAACUAAAAACUUGAUAUUUUUAAUGUUUUUAUUCUGACUUAAAAGAAAAGAGUCACCCGUUAUGAAAACUUUCAUCUCACGUUUUCCGUGCGUUCCACUAUUUGCAACCCCCACUUUCCCAUUGGGUUCCCGGUGAGUUCCUUUCAUCCUCAUCAAAAUUGUGCGCAGUUUCUCCGCAAGCGCGACUCUCUACGCCUGGGACUGGCGCUAGUUACACAAGGACUGACAUUGUUGCGUGGUCGCUUCUCGCAUUUCCCGCCAAAACGAAACACAACUGCCAAUGGCUAAAUUUAAAACAAGGAUUUUUCGUUGAGGCUCUGACUGUUACAAACUUAGACAAACGUGCUUUUUGGCCACUUUUCCUGAACGGCGGUUUUCGUGUGGCAUGAGGGUGAGUGGAUCGUGGGACAAAAAAUUAAAAUGACUAAUCAGUUUUUGUAUCUUUGAAUGAUAAAAUGAACGUUACCAAAUUCCUUUUCAAAAUAAGCCGGAGAGGUAGUCAUACAAGAACUGUAAAAAAAAGCUUAAUUACAUUUGAAAAAUGACCUUUUUGUUUGUUCAGUUCAUACAAGUUCAAGUGGGCUCCAUGUAAACAACGGAAAUGUAAAGUUGUAGCAGAAGAAAGCGUGCAAAGGGCGUUGUCAUUAAAAAUUCGUGACGUGCCUGGUAACUGAUUGGUCUAAUGUUAUUUUGCAUGUUCAUAAUGACUAUUGCUAAUCUGAGGUGUUCAUUUGUCAUUUUGAGAUGUAUGCCGUCGGAUUAAGAUGUGUACUGUUCCCUUCUACACGAGAAGCGAAUUCCUAUUUCGAAGAAGAAAUGGCGUCGACGUUUGGGGAAGAGAAGUCGGUUGACACCCAUCUCUGCCAACGGAGCCACUGUACUUGGACAUGUGUGUAAUUUACAGAGACCGUGAGCGGAAGGACGCCUUUGAAAUCAUGUCAAUAGGCAAAGAGACGUACGUUUUCAGAGCAUCUACCAGUCGCGAGUAUCGAAGAUGGCUGAAGUAUCUCAGGCUUGAAGCAAAAGAACUUGGAGGAUGGAAGAUACGACGUCACGGACUUCCCAAUAUCAUGAUCAAAAAUCUGUAGAUCUAUUCCUGUAUUGAUAGUAUCCAUUUAAACAUUUGCUUCAACAAGUUGCAACCUCAACAAGUUGCGUGACAACCCAUACUUAGGUCGUCACGCAACGCUUCUUAACUGGGAGAAUCGUUGCGUGACAAUGCCAUCAAAAGGAGACUACCUCAUGGCGAACAGAUUGAAAAGUAUACAUAGAACAAUCCCUCGCGUACAACCCUUACUAGUAAUUUUUUUCCGACCAUCUCGGAAAUCGCGGAAAAGCAAAAAACAAAAACAAAAACAAAAACAAAAAAACAAACAAACAAACUCAUGUCACUUGUCGCUUGUCACUUGCUAAAGAAUAUGAUAUAUUUUGUGACCAUGCCCCAUAUACAUUGCGCAGAGAGAAUUGUAAAACUGAAAAAUGUAAUAUAUUGUACAAAUUUGUCAUCCAAAAUAAAUUAUGAAUAGAUUGUCAUGAUAACUGCAUAAGUGUCU